AUGCGCCUCGGAUGCCGCCGGCCACGGGGCUCCCGGAGGGGGGUCCGACACCGCCCGGUGCCCGGGAUCCCCAAUCUGGCCGGUGGAUGAGGCCCCAUCCCAUGCACCCCAGUGCGGGGGACGGGGGGGUUAAUAUUAAUUCAGGAUCCCAUCCCCACCCGAGGCAGGUCACCCAGUGCACGCCCCAACUCCGGGACGCCCGCUCUGACCCUGGAACUUCCGAGAUUCCCGCGACGCCCCCUGUCUCUGGGUCCAGAACUUCGGGGGACACCUCUUCUGCCUCCUCCAACCCCAGUACAGACAGGAUUUCACCAUGUUGGCCAGGAUGGUCUCAAUCUCCUGACUUCGUGAUCCGCCCGCCUUGGCCUCCCAAAGUGCUGGGAUUACAGACGUGAGCCACCGCCCUUGGCCCCUGUGACAGCUUUCUGUGAGCACUUUCGGAAGUAGGAGAUCCCCAGGUUCCAGCUUUCGACUUGGUAGCUUUCAGAAUCACGUGAGCCAGGGAGUGAAUCCCAGCCCUGCUGCUUACCAGCAGUGCCACCCUGAAGAAGUCACUUUCUCUUCUUUGUGCCUCAGGUUCCCCAUCCAUAAAAUGGGCAUAUGAAUAGUGUUCACUUCUGAGGUUUACUGUAGGGAUCCAGUGAGUUCUUUCUUUUUCUUUUCUUUUUUUCUUUUGAGACAGAAUCUUGCUCUGUCGCCCAGGCUGGAGUGCAGUGGCGCAAUCUCAGCUUGCUGCAAUCUCUGCCUUCCAGGUUCAAGCGAUUCUUUUGCCUCGGCCUCCCUAGUAGCUGGGAUUACAGGUGCACGCCACCACACCCGGCUAAAUUUUUGUGUUUUUAGUAGAGACAGGGGUUUCACCAUGUUGGCCAGGCUGGUCUCCAACUCCUGGACUCAAGUGAUCCACCCACCUUGGCCUCCCAAACUAUUGGGAUUACAGAUGUGAGCCACCACGCCCACCCUUUUUUUUUUUUUUUUUUUUUUUUGAGACAGGGCCUCACUCUGUUGCCCAGGCUCAAUCAUGGCUCACUGCAGCCUCAACUUUCUGGGUUCAAGCAAUCCUCCCACCUCAGACUCCUGAGUGGCUGAGACUACAGGUGCACACCACUACGCCUGGCUAAUUUUUGUAUUUUUUGUAGAGAUGGGGUGUUACUAUGUUGCCCAGGCUGGUCUCCAACUCCUGGACUCAAGAGAUCUGCCUGCCUCAGCCUCUCAAAGGGCUGGGAUAACAGAUGUAAGCCACUGCAUCUGGCCUCCAAUGAGUUGUUAUGUGAAGAGAACGUGAUUGUAGGUGCUUAAUAAAUGCUUGCUAUUAUAAACAUCAUAUUUAUUUUUGGUAUGUGGUUUUGAUCCUGAACCAACUUCUUACUCUUUUCUUUUUCAGAAGUUAGAGGACUCCAACCAGGCCUGAACUCUCAAGGACAGAAAUGGGUCCAACCUGGCAUGACAUCCUCUAAAUCUUUAGCUCCUGGCCCCUCAGGUGCCCCCUCCAGCUACCUCCCUCUUCCUUCUCUUCAUUCCCCAAGCCAUAGCUGGUUGGGCCAACCUCCAGACAUUAGCCUCUUUGCAAACUCCUAUUCACCCCUCAAAGCCUCACCUUCAAUGCUCUCCUCCCCAAGAAGCUCUCUCCUCUACCUCUAGACCUUUUCCAGCCCUCUUCCCUCUUUCUGGCCCAGCCCUGACUCCUGCGAAUGUCUGUGUGCAGCUUUGACUCCCCCAGCCUGAGUGUCCCUCAAGGGCUGAGACCAGGGCCCAUGUUUCCCUAGAGUUUGUCAUCUUCCAGCAUAAGGUGGACGCAUGGGGGUCAGGCAAAGGGGAGUUUGAUGACUCAGUACUAUUGGUGAUUUUGCAUCACUUGAAGGAGACCCUGCCUUAAAUUCAGAACUUGA